rnacentral:lncRNA from 1 species
GCUGCCAAUGUUCGUUCAUAAAGCACUAAUUCCAUAGCUGCUAUAGUCUAUUCAUCGGGUACUAAAUCCAUAGCUACCAGUCUUUAUCUAAUAGGUACUAAGUCCAUAGCUACCAAUGUUCAACAGGUACUAAGUCCAUAGCUACCAAUUCCUACAGGUACUAAAUCCUUAGCUACCAGCGUCUAACUAAUAGGUACUAAGUCCAUAGCUACCAAUUCCCAACAGGUACUAAAUCCAUAGCUACCAACGUCUAAAAGGUACUAAGUCCAUAGCUACCGGUGUUUGUCCCAUAGGCACUAAGUCUAUAGCUGCCAAUGUAUACUCACGUCAUCUUCUAUCUCUCAUCAUUCAUCUACCCAUCUCAUACCCAACAUUUUCGUAUAUAUAAAAUACGUAUACAGUUUAAGUCCUUUAAAACAUGUAUAAAACGUUCAACCAGCAUAGACAGCAAGUAUUCAGAUAAUGUGCACACAUAGCACGUAGUUUAUAUAAAAUACUUCAUAUCUAUGUGUAAGAUGAAAGGGACUAUGCACUCACUUGAAAGGUGGUGAGUCGGCACUCGGACAGCACUUCGUUACUCUUAAAACAAUUAUCCCUUGACGAAACCUAGUAUCAUUACCACUAGAGUUUAGUCUAACGCUUGACGAGACUAAUUUAAUAGUCUAGCUAUUAUUACUAUUAUAUAAGCGUUAAAUAACACUCAAUAUAACUCAUAAUAAUAGCCUAAAUAAUUAUUUUAAGGUCCUAACAAUGUUACUAUAAUUAAAUAAAAUCUAUAUUAAAUAUACUAUAGGCGUAGCUCACUUACAGCGGGUUUUUAUUAAAAACCGGGCUUCGCUGGAGCAGCGUUUCCGAGCCGAAAGCUUUUCUUCUCGGAGCCGUCGGGCGCUCCGGGGCUUUCUUCUCGUGCUAGGGAGGUUCCGUAGACUUGGGAGGGGUUUAGGGAGGCUAGAGAGAAGUUAGAGAGAGAAAGAAAGGCUUAUGGUGUGAAGAAAAUAUGAGGAGUUCACCCUUGUAUUUAUAGGAAGUGUAUAGUAAAGUAGUCUCCAAGCUUCGUCCGUAACUUUUGCAUACGAGCUCCGUUUUUGUCUGUCUUUUUACUGUUGAGUUCCUAUUAAUGAGAUCUUCAACUUUCAUUUAGACCUCGUUGGCUAAUUCUCAUUCUAUCUCGGAUUUACAAAACUGUAUCAAAUUCGCCGCGCUCGAAAAGUAGGGACUAAGCUUCGUCCAUAACUUUCGCAUACGAGCUCCAUUUUUGUCUGUCUUUUUACCGUUGAGUUCCUAUUAAUGAGAUCUUCAACUCUCAUUUAGACCUCGUUGGCUAAUUCUCAUUCUAUCUCGUAUUUACAAAACUGUAUCGAAUUCGCCGCGCUCGAAAAGUAGGGACUAAGCUUCGUCCAUAACUUUUGCAUACGAGCUCUAUUAUCGACGUUCUUUAUAUCCACGCGUUGGUAUUUACGAGUACUACAACUUUCAUUUAGAUCCCGUCGGCUAAAAAUCGACCGAUCUAAAAUUCAGAUUUCGGGCUGUGCACUGCUAUGCUAAAUCUUAGAAAAAUCAUAACUUCCUCAUACGAAGUCAGAUUUGGGCGUUCUUUUUAUCGAUGUUCUUAGUUUAACAUAUUCUACGACUUUCGUUUAGAUCGCUAAGGCUAAAUCUCGCUCUAUCGUAAAUUCACUAUUUACGCUUCCCGGUAUCGUGCCGGUUCCGUCGCGAAACUUCAACGGGUCAUAACUUCUUCGUUAUAACUCGGUUUUCGGCGUUCUUUAUAUGUACGAAAACCUUGUAACAUACUCUACAACUUGAUUAAGAUUAUUUAUUCUAAAUAAUCUUUUGUCGAAAAGUCGUUUUCGACCCCUAUUGCCUCUAAUUUGACUAGCCCAGAUUUGCGGGCGUUACAAUUAUCUCCCCCUUAGGAUGAUUACGUCCCGGAAUCAUCAACGAAACAGGGUCGUAUAAUGACUCCAUACGUCAUCUCUUCAUCCUAGGUAAUAAUUAUAACUUCUACAUUCCUUCAAUUCUAUCUCUUAAACUCAUUGACUGUAAGAGUACUCGAUCGUGCACCUGCUCUCUACCUCAGGUUAGACUCCAAAUUAUGACCUUCAAGUCACAAUCUCGAUCCUUGCUGGAUACGGACUUGAGAUAAGUUCUUUUAUUACUACUAUAGAUCGAUGUGUCAUAUUCUAAUGACCUAUCAUCGUAUGUUGCAACACUUAGACUUAGGUCUCUUAGAGUUAAAUUCUAAAACAGACUAUGCCUUCCUUCAUGUUCUAAUGUGAUAUAAUCACACUUUAACAUUAGGCAUUUCUAGCUAUCAACUUUUUUUUUAACAACGAGCGUGAUAUUUCUAUUGAUCGCUUUGAUUCCAAUCGUUUGGUUUAAGUCGGACACUUCAUCAAGCUUGGUUCUCUGAACCACGUAACAUACUUAGCGUAGUCGGACUCAAUUCGAUAUGACCACUAGGAUCGGAAUAUCAACAAGCUUCUUAGUCAUUACCGAAACGAUGGUAACAACACACUUGAAUAAAACAGAAUCAAUUACUAGCUUCUUGGUAACCUUGUGACUUUCCCUGAUCCAAGUGUGAGUCCUAUGCUUCCGGUAGUAUAGGCCUCUACUACCAUUCACACCUACUCAUACUCGUCCCAAGUAUUGUCUCGCAGUUUCCCAAGUCACCAUGCAGCAAAUCACACAAUCAUUCAACACAUCAGAUAACAAAACGAAGGUUUUAUAUUAAUUCUUGAAACGAUUACAUAGGUGUUCAAGUUCACCCUAGACUAUGCCUCUACUAGGCUACAUCAUACAAAACUAUGGCUACUGCAUAAUCCGAUCUUCGGGUAAGAAGUCCUCAUUCUUGAUUCCUCGCAUGGUUCUCUGCUUCGUCAAGGAUCAUGUGAAAUGCCCUUGGCCUUGGUGGCGUUUCUGGUCUUGCUGCUUUAUUUUUCCUUGGGCAGUCUCUGGACAUGUGCCCCUUGCCUCCACAUCCGUAGCAUACUUUGUCAUUAUGUGUGCAGUCUUUGGAAUAGUGACCCGUCCUCCCACACUUGUAACAAGUCACUUCUUCGUUGCACUUCCCACCAUGCUUCUUCUUGCAUUUAUCACACCAUCUUGUUUCACCUCCAUCUGCUCCUCCGAGUUUUGAGAAUUUGCUUUCCUUGUUCGACCUCGAAGAUCCCUCAAACUUUCGCUUCUCUCCUGCCUUAUCUUUUUCUAGACCCUUUUCUCUUAUCUGGGCCUCUACGUUCUUAGCUGCCCUAAUAGCUGCUUUUAAGGUAGUUGCCAUUUUGACCAUUGGACCAAAGUCAGUGGGCAGUCCGUUAGCAAACCUAUCAAUCUUGGAGAGUUCAGUAGGCACCAAGUAGGGAAAUAGCUUCAUCCUCUCGGUAAAUGCGGUGGCAUACUCAUCAACACUCAUCUUCCCUUUCUUCAGGUUCUGAAACUCGUUGUUUAGGUCUAUCAGAUCUACCUCCGAGCAGUACUGCAUUUUCAACUGUUCCAAAAACUCUUCCCACGACAUCCUUAAGGCUUCUCCUCGUGGCAUCGUAUCUGCCAAUAGCUUCCACCAGCUCAAGACUCCAGUUUUCAGCUGUCUUACUGCAAAGACAGUCUUCUGUUUCUCAUUACAGCUGCAGCUCUCAAACACCAUCUCCAUCUCAGAGAUCCAAUCCAUAAUCUCAACCGGCUUUGGGCUUCCUGAGAGGCUUGGUGGUUUCGCACCCAAGAAGUUCUUGUACAUCCGCCCAUCCUUGUUGUUUCUCCCUUCUGGGCCAUCCCUUUGCUCACCUUGAGUCCCAACUUGACUCACUUGGCGGCUGUAGUUCCCUUCCUCAGAUUGCUCGGGAAUCAGUUCGGGUUGCUCAAUGGGCAUAGUAGGUUCGUCCCUAUUCAACAUCCGUCUCAUUUCUUCCCUUUGUUCAGCCAACAUAGCCCGAAUCAUGGCUUGAACUCCAGCCAUGGUGACUGGCUCAGGCGCAACUUCUUCUACAACAGGUAUUUGCUGAACCACUGGGGGUUGGUUCCUGUUCCCAUUUGCGUUUACGUUUCCGCUACGGGUCCUUACCAUCUCGAUCUAUACACCGAAUAAGGUGAAUUUAGACCUUUACUUGACGUUUAAAUCAUCCUUAUCACUCCGAAACGUUUACAUGCUAGUUCUAAUACCGUAGUCGUACGUUUAGAAUCCUAAACACAUAAGGUUUCCAGAUCCGGUCGGCAACAGACCAUAGAUCCGAACAAUUAACAACAUAUCAUGCACAAAGCAUUUAGCACAUAAAAGCAUUUUAGGCAUAAUUCCUAAAAUAAGCUAGUGCUCACACCUCACAAUCAUCGCUUAGCAUUCUAAGUUUAAGUCUAGAAAUAAAUCCAUAUUCCUAGUUCGCUUAAACUAAUGCUCUGAUACCAACUGUGACAUCCCCAAAAUCACGGCCAGAAAAGACCGAUUUUGUUUAUGCUUUAUGAAAAUCAGAGUACUUCGUUUUAUAAAAAGGUUGCGGAAUGUGUUCCCAGAAAAACAUGGUAAAUACGUUAUUAAAACAUUUUCGAGGAAACGUAUUUAUUUCAUUUUAAAACGUUUGGGAUGUCAUCGUUAAUACCGAAACAUAAGCAUAAACAGAACUUACAAUGAUUUACACUAGUGAUCUACAUCUCUUUAAAUCUCUCAGUGUAAUGUCACUUCACUUCGUCACCUGUGAUAUACAUAAACUGAGUGGGUCAGGUUGGGAAACCUGGUGAGUACAUAGGGUUUUCAACCCACAAUAAUAUAAUUGUUAUGUUUAAUCAUCAAACAAUUAACCCCAUUACCCAUCCCCGUUAUCUUCUUUACUCUUAAGGAUUUAACCUAAGAGUCGUCUAUCCUGCAUUCGUUUAUUCCGAAGUCCCUUACUUCCAGGGUUAUAGGACUGGCACUAAAUCCAUAGCUGCCAAUGUUCGUUCAUAAAGCACUAAUUCCAUAGCUGCUAUAGUCUAUUCAUCGGGUACUAAAUCCAUAGCUACCAGUCUUUAUCUAAUAGGUACUAAGUCCAUAGCUACCAAUGUUCAACAGGUACUAAAUCCUUAGCUACCAGCGUCUAACUAAUAGGUACUAAGUCCAUAGCUACCAAUUCCCAACAGGUACUAAAUCCAUAGCUACCAACGUCUAAAAGGUACUAAGUCCAUAGCUACCGGUGUUCGUCUCAUAGGCACUAAGUCUAUAGCUGCCAAUAUAUACUCACGUCAUCUUCUAUCUCUCAUCAUUCAUCUACCCAUCUCAUACCCAACAUAUUCGUAUAUAUAAAAUACGUAUACAGUUUAAAUCCUUUAAAACAUGUAUAAAACGUUCAUCCAACAUAGACAGCAAGUAUUCAGAUAAUAUGCACACAUAGCACGUAGUUUAUAUAAAAUACUUCAUAUCUAUGUGUAAGAUGAAAGGGACUAUGCACUCACCUGAGUAGGUGGUGACUCAGCACUCGGACAGCGCUUCGAUACUCUCAAAACGAUAUUCCUUCGAUAAAACCUAGUAUCGAUACCACUAGGGUUUAGUUUAACGAUAACCGCGACAAAUUAAUUAGUCCGAGUAUUAUUAAGUGUUAAUAAUACUCGAUAUAACUCAUUUUAAUAGCCCAAAUAAUUAUUUUAAGGACCUAAUAACAUUCCUAUAAUUAUAUGAAAGCUAUAUUAAAAAUUGCGUAAGCGUAGCACACUUACAGCGAAUUUUAUCGAAAACCGGGACCUAAUUGGAGCAGCGUAUCGAAACCGAAAAACUCCUUUUUCUCGGAACUCCGGGAGCCUCGGGGCUUCCCUAGGGUGCUAGGGAGGUUCCCUAGGGUUUGGGGGUGUUUAGAACACUUAGAGAGAGAAAGAAGUUAGAGAGAGAGUGAAGAAAGGUGUGAAAAAUGAAGGAUAAUCAGCCCCCUUUUAUAGCCCUGC